rnacentral:rRNA from 1 species
GACAGAGGGUGCAAACGUUGCUCGGAAUUACUGGGCGUAAAGGGCGCGUAGGCGGCACUGUUAGUCAGGCGUGAAAUUCCUGGGCUCAACCUGGGGACUGCGCUUGAUACGGCAGAGCUAGAGGAUGGAAGAGGCUCGCGGAAAUUCCCAGUGUAGAGGUGAAAUUCGUAGAUAUUGGGGAAGAACACCGGUGGCGAAGGCGGCGAGCUGGUCCAUUACUGACGGCUGAGGCGCGACAGCGUGGGGAGCAAACAGG